rnacentral:misc_RNA from 1 species
GGAGAACUCAUAUCAGACAAUGUGGAGGAUCAAACAGAACAGGCUCUGAAAAAUAUUGGGGAGAUACUUAAAGCUGGCGGUGUUAGCUAUUCUGCAGCUGUUAAAACAACAAUUAUGUUGGCUGAUCUAGGGGACUUUCAGAAAGUCAAUGCAAUUUAUGCUAAAUAUUUUCCAGAUCCUGCACCAGCACGUUCAACUUUUCAAGCAGCAGGAUUACCUCUGAAUGCAAAAAUUGAAAUUGAUUGCAUAGCAGUGUGUUAAACAGAUUAAAGUCUUC